UGGGCAAUCAGGAUUCCUUUUCUUUACAUC
rnacentral:piRNA from 1 species